rnacentral:rRNA from 1 species
UGGGGAAUAUUGCACAAUGGGGGAAACCCUGAUGCAGCGACGCCGCGUGAAGGAUGAAGUAUUUCGGUAUGUAAACUUCUAUCAGCAGGGAAGAAAAUGACGGUACCUGACUAAGAAGCCCCGGCUAACUACGUGCCAGCAGCCGCGGUAAUACGUAGGGGGCAAGCGUUAUCCGGAUUUACUGGGUGUAAAGGGAGCGUAGACGGCAGUGCAAGUCUGAAGUGAAAGCCCGGGGCUCAACCCCGGGACUGCUUUGGAAACUGUGCAGCUAGAGUGUCGGAGAGGCAAGCGGAAUUCCUAGUGUAGCGGUGAAAUGCGUAGAUAUUAGGAGGAACACCAGUGGCGAAGGCGGCUUGCUGGACGAUGACUGACGUUGAGGGUCGAAAGCGUGGGGAGCAAACA